AAAAGGACCGGGACAACCACUGGAAACGGUGGCUAAUACCGGAUGAGCCGAAAAGUAAAAAGGGAAACCUGCCUUUUGAAGAGCUCGCGUCUGAUUAGCUAGUUGGUAGGGUAAAAGCCUACCAAGGCAUCGAUCAGUAGCUGGUCUGAGAGGAUGACCAGCCACACUGGGACUGAGACACGGCCCAGACUCCUACGGGAGGCAGCAGUGGGGAAUUUUCCGCAAUGGGCGAAAGCCUGACGGAGCAAGACCGCGUGAGGGAAGAAGGCUCUUGGGUCGUAAACCUCUUUUAUCAGGGAAGAAAAAAAUGACGGUACCUGAAGAAUCAGCCUCGGCUAACUCCGUGCCAGCAGCCGCGGUAAUACGGAGGAGGCAAGCGUUAUCCGGAAUUAUUGGGCGUAAAGCGUCCGCAGGUGGCUUAUCAAGUCUGCUGUCAAAGAGUGGGGCUUAACCCCAUUAAGGCAGUGGAAACUGAGAAGCUAGAGUGCCGUAGGGGUAGAGGGAAUUCCCGGUGUAGCGGUGAAAUGCGUAGAGAUCGGGAAGAACAUCGGUGGCGAAAGCGCUCUACUGGACGGUGACUGACACUCAGGGACGAAAGCUAGGGGAGCGAAUGGGAUUAGAUAC
rnacentral:rRNA from 1 species